rnacentral:rRNA from 1 species
CCUACGGGAGGCAGCAGUGAGGAAUAUUGGUCAAUGGACGAGAGUCUGAACCAGCCAAGUAGCGUGAAGGAUGACUGCCCUAUGGGUUGUAAACUUCUUUUAUAUGGGAAUAAAACAGGGUACGCAUACCCUCUUGUAUGUACCCUAUGAAUAAGGAUCGGCUAACUCCGUGCCAGCAGCCGCGGUAAUACGGAGGAUCCGAGCGUUAUCCGGAUUUAUUGGGUUUAAAGGGUGCGUAGGUGGUUUGUUAAGUCAGUUGUGAAAGUUUGCGGCUCAACCGUAAAAUUGCAGUUGAAACUGGCAGUCUGGAGUACAGUAGAGGUGGGCGGAAUGCGUGGUGUAGCGGUGAAAUGCUUAGAUAUCACGAAGAACUCCGAUUGCGAAGGCAGCUCACUGGACUGCAACUGACACUGAUGCUCGAAAGUGUGGGUAUCAAACAGGAUUAGAUACCCCAGUAGUC